UAUUUUUGUAUUUUUUGAAUAUCAAAAACCAUUUAAAAUGAAUUAAAAAUGACCAGAAAAGAGAAAAUUACUAAAAAAUAGCAAAUGAUAAAAUAAAAAAUAUUAAAAAUCAUUUUUAGAAACUAGAAAUUAAAAGAGAAAUAAUACAAUUGGUCCCAUAAUUUUUGGACCAAUAAUGAAGAAGAUAUGAAUUUUAGAAAAUGGAAUGGAAUUAAAAAAUAAAAUGGAAAUAAAAAAUCAGAAAUAAAAAAUAAGGAAAAACGUGAGGCGUUGGACCAGG
rnacentral:lncRNA from 1 species